UCAGGAUGAACGCUAGCGGCAGGCCUAACACAUGCAAGUCGAGGGGUAACAGGGGAGCUUGCUCCCGCUGACGACCGGCGCACGGGUGCGGAACGCGUAUGGAACCUGCCCCUGUCAGAGGAAUAGCCCAUGGAAACGUGGAUUAAUGCCUCAUGGUAUUGUGAAGUUGCAUGAUUUUACAAUUAAAGAUUUAUCGGACAGGGAUGGCCAUGCGUAUCAUUAGCUAGUUGGGGAGGUAACGGCUCACCAAGGCGACGAUGAUUAGGGGCCCUGAGAGGGGGAUCCCCCACACUGGUACUGAGACACGGACCAGACUCCUACGGGAGGCAGCAGUGAGGAAUAUUGGACAAUGGUCGGAAGACUGAUCCAGCCAUGCCGCGUGCAGGAAGACGGCCCUACGGGUUGUAAACUGCUUUUCUACAGGAAGAAAGGUUCCCUUGCGAGGGAGAUUGACGGUACUGUAGGAAUAAGGACCGGCUAACUCCGUGCCAGCAGCCGCGGUAAUACGGAGGGUCCGAGCGUUAUCCGGAAUCAUUGGGUUUAAAGGGUCCGUAGGUGGGGUUCUAAGUCAGAGGUGACAGGUUGCAGCUCAACUGUAGAAUUGCCUUUGAUACUGGAGCUCUUGAGUUAUGUUGCUGUGGCCGGAACCAUGUGGUGUAGCGGUGAAAUGCAUAGAUAUCACAUAGAACACCGAUUGCGAAGGCCGGUCACAAAGCAUACACUGACACUGAGGGACGAAAGCGUGGGGAGCGAACGGGAUUAGAUACCCCGGUAGUCCACGCCGUAAACGAUGGAUACUAGCUG
rnacentral:rRNA from 1 species